rnacentral:rRNA from 1 species
GACCCAACAGCUAGCCUUU